UGUGAUGGAAAGUACAUGACAUAAAUUUGCCAUUUUAAUCAUUUUUAACUUACUUUGAGUGUUGUGCAACCAUCAUCAUUUUUUUUUCCCAGAAUUUGUCAUUAGUUUGAGUAGAAAAGCUGUUCUCAUUAUGCAUUGGCAUGUUCCUCUGCCAGCCCUCGCUAGCCUCUCAUCUACUUUCGCUCUCUAUGAAUUGGCCCGUUUUAUUCUUGAUGUAUGUAAAAUUCUACAAAAGUUGUAUUUCACUUUUGUAUUAAGCACAAUGUUUUCAAGAUUAAUUUCUGUUCAACUUUGUAUCAGAAUUUGUAUGCCUGAAUAACACUGCAUUGUAUGUAUAUAUAUAGAAGACUGCAUUUUGUCUCUCCAUUCGUCUGUGGAUGAGUGAGCCUCUCGUUUCCCAUCCUUUGGCUUUCGUAGAUGAUGGAGCAGUGAAUACUGAUGUGCAAGCACCUGGCUGAAUUUCUCUCCUAAGUUCUUUUGCAUGAAUCCUCAAGACUGGAAUGGUUGACUCUUACAGUGCUACUGAAUUGUAUUUUCCCUAAAACUCACAUGUGGCAGUACUGGGAGACCAAGAUGACCCUCCUAAAGGGAAACAGCUGUGAGGAUGGUUGCUGGAUCAUACUGUAAAUGCAUGUUUCAUUUUCUAAGUUAUUGGUACUGCUUUCCAAUGACCUCAUCCUAGCACGCCAGUCUUUAAAGCACGAGAACUCCCGCGGCUCCAUCCGCGGCGUCGGUUACUUCCUCCGGAAGAUUUAUUUAUUUUCACUGAAAGGACAGAU